rnacentral:rRNA from 1 species
GCCUCUUGACUUAACCAUAAGAGGUCCAGCCUGCCCAGUGACAUUGUUCAACGGCCGCGGUAUUCUAACCGUGCGAAGGUAGCGUAAUCACUUGUCCUUUAAAUGAGGACUAGUAUGAACGGCCACACGAAAGCUAUACUGUCUCCUUUCUCUAAUCAGUUAAACUAAUCUCCCCGUGAAGAAGCGGGAAUAACCAUAUAAGACGAGAAGACCCUAUGGAGCUUUAAGCAAUUGAAACACUUGUACCCAUCUUCUUCAUUUCCACAUAACACUUAACCCCACAUUUUGUUUCUAGCUUUAGGUUGGGGUGACCGCGGAGAAAAAAUUAUCCUCCACGCCGAAAGAGUUAAUCUCUAAACUAAAAGCUACACCUUUAAGUAUUAACAUAUUAACCUAAAUUGACCCAAUAAUUUGAUCAACGAACCAAG